CAGUCGCCGCGGGAAUACAGAGGGUGCAAGCGUUAAUCGGAAUUACUGGGCGUAAAGCGCGCGUAGGUGGUUUGUUAAGUUGGAUGUGAAAUCCCUGAGCUUAACUUAGGAAUUGCAUUCGAUACUGGGAAGCUAGAGUAUGGGAGAGGAUGGUAGAAUUCCAGGUGUAGCGGUGAAAUGCGUAGAUAUAGGAAGGAACAUCAGUGGCGAAGGCGACCACCUGGACUGAUACUGACACUGAGGUGCGAAAGCGUGGGGAGCAAACAGGAUUAGAUACCCCUGCAGUCCCUGUCUCUUAUAC
rnacentral:rRNA from 1 species